rnacentral:rRNA from 1 species
GACGAACGCUGGCGGCGUGCCUAAUACAUGCAAGUCGAACGAACCGCGACUAGGUGCUUGCACUUGGUCAAGGUGAGUGGCGAACGGGUGAGUAACACGUGGGUAACCUACCUCAUAGUGGGGGAUAACAGUCGGAAACGACUGCUAAUACCGCAUAGGACAUAGGCUCACAUGAUCCAGUGAGGAAAGGUGGCGCAAGCUAUCGCUAAGAGAUGGACCCGCGGUGCAUUAGCUAGUUGGUAGGGUAAAGGCCUACCAAGGCGAUGAUGCAUAGCCGACCUGAGAGGGUGAUCGGCCACAUUGGGACUGAGACACGGCCCAAACUCCUACGGGAGGCAGCAGUAGGGAAUCUUCCGCAAUGGACGCAAGUCUGACGGAGCAACGCCGCGUGAGUGAAGAAGGUCUUCGGAUCGUAAAGCUCUGUUGUUAGAGAAGAACAGCGCAUAGAGUAACUGUUAUGCGUGUGACGGUAUCUAACCAGAAAGCCACGGCUAACUACGUG